CGCGGCCUAUCAGCUUGUUGGUGGGGUAAUGGCCUACCAAGGCGACGACGGGUAGCCGGCCUGAGAGGGCGACCGGCCACACUGGGACCGAGACACGGCCCAGACUCCUACGGGAGGCAGCAGUGGGGAAUAUUGCACAAUGGGCGAAAGCCUGAUGCAGCGACGCCGCGUGAGGGAUGACGGCCUUCGGGUUGUAAACCUCUUUCAGCAGGGAAGAAGCGAAAGUGACGGUACCUGCAGAAGAAGCGCCGGCUAACUACGUGCCAGCAGCCGCGGUAAUACGUAGGGCGCAAGCGUUGUCCGGAAUUAUUGGGCGUAAAGAGCUCGUAGGCGGCUUGUCACGUCGGAUGUGAAAGCCCGAGGCUUAACCUCGGGUCUGCAUUCGAUACGGGCUAGCUAGAGUGUGGUAGGGGAGAUCGGAAUUCCUGGUGUAGCGGUGAAAUGCGCAGAUAUCAGGAGGAACACCGGUGGCGAAGGCGGAUCUCUGGGCCAUUACUGACGCUGAGGAGCGAAAGCGUGGGGAGCGAACAGGAUUAGAUACCCUGGUAGUCCACGCCGUAAACGUUGGGAACUAGGUGUUGGCGACAUUCCACGUCGUCGGUGCCGCAGCUAACGCAUUAAGCUCCCCGCCUGGGGAGUACGG
rnacentral:rRNA from 1 species